rnacentral:rRNA from 1 species
AAUAUCUAAACGAAGAAAUUCAAUACCAUUAUAAUAUAUGGUGUGCACUUUUCUUUUAGUAAGACGCCGUGAUUCAUUAGAAAUUGAUACAAUUUAAUUGUAUAUUGGGUCAUCAAUAGGCUAAUAUGAAGUUUAUUUGGAAUAAAUGUUUUAAUCUUUCACGAUUAAUUGUAUUAUCUGGUAAGCAUAUUAAUACCUGUAAUGACUGUCUGAUGAAUUUUAAUGAUAUUAUUAUUAAUGCUUUAUGCAUUACCUUUUAUUAAAAGGAAUUAAAUAAUUAUCUGAUCAACGGCGGUUAAAUUUGAGAUACCUUUUGGACCCGUCUUGAAACACGGACCAAGGAGUCUAUCUAAUAUGCGAGUAAAUGGAUAUAGUAAAAUCUAUUUGCAUAAUAAACUUGACUGUUUUUAUGGGAUUACGAUUAAUAUAUUUAUAAUAUAUUUUUCUUUCAUCCCGGGGUAUUUUUAUCAACAUAUGCUUGCAUAUGAAAAAUAUACCAUGAGCAUAUUGGAUACGACCCGAAAGAUGGUGAACUAUGCCUGAUCAGGUCGAAGUCAGGGGAAACCCUGAUGGAGGACCGAAGCAGUUCUGACGUGCAAAUCG